rnacentral:rRNA from 1 species
AUUGAACGCUGGCGGCAGGCCUAACACAUGCAAGUCGAACGAGUGGCGGACGGGUGAGUAAUGCAUGGGAAACUGCCUGAUGGAGGGGGAUAACUACUGGAAACGGUAGCUAAUACCGCAUACCCUCAGAUGUGCCCAGAUGGGAUUAGCGUGUUGGUGGGGUAACGGCACACCUAGGCGACAAUCCCUAGCUGGUCUGAGAGGAUGACCAGCCACACUGCAACUGGGACUCGGUCCAGAGGCCUACGGGAGGCUGCAGUGUGGAAUAUUGCACAAUGGGCUCAAGCCUGGGGCAGCCAUGCCGCGUGUAGGAAGAAGGCCGUCGGGUUGUAAAGUACUUUCAGCGGGGAGGCGUUACCCGCAGAAGAAGCACCGGCUAACUCCGUGCCAGCAGCCGCGGUAAUUC